UUGCAAUGAUGAUACUAUUACCCAGCUCAUUAUGUGACUUCCCUUUGUGGGUUGUCAUGAUAUGAACUUCCCCUACUCUUUACGUAGU
rnacentral:snoRNA from 1 species